rnacentral:tRNA from 15 species
GCAAAGGUAGCUUAACGGAUUAAAGCACAGCACUGAAAAUGCUUCAAAGGGAGUUAAAGUCCCUCCCUUAGCA